CCGGGAUGUAAGUCAUGUGGACAAGUUCUUUGGAAUGUUCAAAUAACAAGAAUAGUGGUGUUAUAGUAGUGGUGGCACUUGCCAGACCUACCGUAACUGGAAAAACUAACAAUGACUUUUCUCCAAAGUCUUAUAUCAGGCUUUUUUUCCGGGAUUUUUAGGGCCGUUAAACGGCCCCAAAAACUCAAUCUUGAAUUGAGUUUUGAAACUCAAUCUUCUCACCAAAGUUUCAGUGCAGUAAAAAUGAAGUUGUUUGAGUUAAAUUUGGGACGUGUGGAAAUUAGUUUUCAGUUGGAAACCCGACAAUUAAGAAAAAAUGGCUGGAAUUCAUCUCACAACACAAGAAAAACUAUGCAUUCGCCAUCGUUAACCAGUUUAUAGUGUCCCUCAAUGCCCCUGCUUUAACACAUUCCGUCUCAACUACAUUUGUUGAGUACAAGUGUCAGCCCCCCGUAGGGGGGGGGGGGCAACCACCACAGCUGUUCAGCUAAACUCAAUCUUCUCUGCAAAAACGGAUCCAAGAGAAAAUCCUGAAAAAAAACCCUGUUAUAUGUACUACAAGAAAUGGCCCAAGGCAUCAAAACAGGGGACAGCCAAAGAAUCACCCAUGGAGCUACAGUUAUAAUAAUACUCUAUCACAUAUUGUAACUUGAUUGUACAGUUAUAAUUAUUAAUUUGAUAAUUAUUCUUUGAC